CACCUUCCAAAUCCCUUAAGAAUUUGCAGUCACCACCUUUCUCUCUAGAACAAGAAGAUGAAUUCCUCCUUCUUGUUCACCAUUUCCUUGGUCCUCACUUCUUAUGCUAUUUUAUCUGCAUCAAGCUCUAGCUUGUUUGAAGAAUUAUGCAUGAAAGUCAAGGAAACUGGUUCAGAUGAAGGCCAAUGCCUGCAUAUUCUGAAUGUCCACCCCA
rnacentral:lncRNA from 1 species